GUAUUCUAAGGCGCUUGAGAGAACCCUGGAGAAGGAACUCGGCAAAUUGACACCGUAACUUCGGAAGAAGGUGUGCCUUUAGUAGGUGAACCAUUUACUUGGGGAGCCCAAUGAGGCCGCAGAGAAUCGGUGGCUGCAACUGUUUAUUAAAAACACAGCACUCUGCAAAGACGAAAGUCGACGUAUAGGGUGUGACUCCUGCCCGGUGCUGGAAGAUUAAAUGAUGGGGUGCAAGCUCUUGACUGAAGUCCCAGUAAACGGCGGCCGUAACCAUAACGGUCCUAAGGUAGCGAAAUUCCUUGUCGGGUAAGUUCCGACCUGCACGAAUGGAGUAAUGAUGGCCACACUGUCUCCUCCAGAGACUCAGCGAAGUUGAAAUGUUUGUGAUGAUGCAAUCUCCCCGCGGAAAGACGGAAAGACCCCAUGAACCUUUACUGUAGCUUUACAUUGGACUUUGAACAGAUCUGUGUAGGAUAGGUGGGAGGCUUUGAAGAGUGGACGCUAGUUUGCUUGGAGCCAACGUUGAAAUACCACCUUGGUGUGUUUGAGGUUCUAACCUUGGUCCCUUAUCGGGAUUGGGGACAGUGUAUGGUGGGCAGUUUGACUGGGGCGGUCUCCUCCCAAAGUGUAACGGAGGAGUUCGAAGGUACGCUAAAUACGGUCGGAAAUCGUGUUGAUAGUGCAUUGGCAUAAGCGUGCUUGACUGCGAGACUGACAAGUCGAGCAGGUACGAAAGUGGGACAAAGUGAUCCGGUGGUUCUGUAUGGAAGGGCCAUCGCUCAACGGAUAAAAGGUACUCUGGGGAUAACAGGCUGAUACCGCCCAAGAGUUCAUAUCGACGGCGGUGUUUGGCACCUCGAUGUCGGCUCAUCUCAUCCUGGGGCUGUAGCCGGUCCCAAGGGUAUGGCUGUUCGCCAUUUAAAGAGGUACGUGAGCUGGGUUUAAAACGUCGUGAGACAGUUUGGUCCCUAUCUUCCGUGGGCGCUGCAAGAUUGAGAGAGCCUGCUCCUAGUACGAGAGGACCGGAGUGGACGCACCUCUGGUGUAUCGGUUGUCACGCCAGUGGCAUCGCCGAGUAGCUAAGUGCGGAAGAGAUAACCGCUGAAAGCAUCUAAGCGGGAAACUCGUCUCAAGAUGAGUCUUGCCGGGGCCUAGAGCCCCCUGAAGGGUCGUUCGAGACCAGGACGUUGAUAGGCUGGGUGUGGAAGCGCGGUAACGCGUUAAGCUAACCAGUACUAAUUGCCCGUGAGGCUUGACCCU
rnacentral:rRNA from 1 species